CGCCUGGGGAGUACGGGUGAGGUAACGGCUCACCAAGGCAUCGACGGGUAGCUGGUCUGAGAGGAUGAUCAGCCACACUGGGACUGAGACACGGCCCAGACUCCUACGGGAGGCAGCAGUAGGGAAUAUUGCACAAUGGGCGAAAGCCUGAUGCAGCAACGCCGCGUGCGGGAAGAAGGCCCUAGGGUUGUAAACCGCUUUCAGCAGGGAAGAAAAUGACGGUACCUGCAGAAGAAGGUGCGGCCAACUACGUGCCAGCAGCCGCGGUGACACGUAGGCACCAAGCGUUGUCCGGAUUUAUUGGGCGUAAAGAGCUCGUAGGCGGUUCAGUAAGUCGGGUGUGAAAACUCUGGGCUCAACCCAGAGACGCCACUCGAUACUGCUGUGACUCGAGUGCGGUAGGGGAGCGGGGAAUUCCUAGUGUAGCGGUGAAGUGCGCAGAUAUUAGGAGGAACACCAGUGGCGAAGGCGCCGCUCUGGGCCGUAACUGACGCUGAGGAGCGAAAGCGUGGGUAGCAAACAGGAUUAGAUACCCUGGUAGUCCACGCCGUAAACGUUGGGCACUAGGUGUGGGUCUCAACCAACGAGAUCCGCGCCGUCGCUAACGCAUUAAGUGCCCCGCCUGGGGAGUACGG
rnacentral:rRNA from 1 species